UACGUAGGUGACCAGCGUUGUCCGGAUUUACUGGGCGUAAAGAGCGCGCAGGCGGUCGUUCAAGUCGAGUGUGAAAGCCCCCGGCUCAACUGGGGAGGGUCACUCGAUACUGAUCGACUUGAAGGCAGGAGAGGGAAGCGGAAUUCCCGGUGUAGUGGUGAAAUGCGUAGAUGUCGGGAGGAACACCAGUGGCGAAGGCGGCUUCCUGGCCUGUUCUUGACGCUGAGGCGCGAAAGCUAGGGGAGCAAACGGG
rnacentral:rRNA from 1 species